AAAUUGAAGAGUUUGAUCAUGGCUCAGAUUGAACGCUGGCGGCAGGCCUAACACAUGCAAGUCGAGCGGAAACGAGUUAUCUGAACCUUCGGGGAAGGAUAACGGCGUCGAGCGGCGGACGGGUGAGUAAUGCCUAGGAAAUUGCCCUGAUGUGGGGGAUAACCAUUGGAAACGAUGGCUAAUACCGCAUGAUGCCUACGGGCCAAAGAGGGGGACCUUCGGGCCUCUCGCGUCAGGAUAUGCCUAGGUGGGAUUAGCUAGUUGGUGAGGUAAGGGCUCACCAAGGCGACGAUCCCUAGCUGGUCUGAGAGGAUGAUCAGCCACACUGGAACUGAGACACGGUCCAGACUCCUACGGGAGGCAGCAGUGGGGAAUAUUGCACAAUGGGCGCAAGCCUGAUGCAGCCAUGCCGCGUGUGUGAAGAAGGCCUUCGGGUUGUAAAGCACUUUCAGUCGUGAGGAAGGUAGUGUAGUUAAUAGCUGCAUUAUUUGACGUUAGCGACAGAAGAAGCACCGGCUAACUCCGUGCCAGCAGCCGCGGUAAUACGGAGGGUGCGAGCGUUAAUCGGAAUUACUGGGCGUAAAGCGCAUGCAGGUGGUUUGUUAAGUCAGAUGUGAAAGCCCGGGGCUCAACCUCGGAAUUGCAUUUGAAACUGGCAGACUAGAGUACUGUAGAGGGGGUAGAAUUUCAGGUGUAGCGGUGAAAUGCGUAGAGAUCUGAAGGAAUACCGGUGGCGAAGGCGGCCCCCUGGACAGAUACUGACACUCAGAUGCGAAAGCGUGGGGAGCAAACAGGAUUAGAUACCCUGGUAGUCCACGCCGUAAACGAUGUCUACUUGGAGGUUGUGGCCUUGAGCCGUGGCUUUCGGAGCUAACGCGUUAAGUAGACCGCCUGGGGAGUACGGUCGCAAGAUUAAAACUCAAAUGAAUUGACGGGGGCCCGCACAAGCGGUGGAGCAUGUGGUUUAAUUCGAUGCAACGCGAAGAACCUUACCUACUCUUGACAUCCAGAGAACUUUCCAGAGAUGGAUUGGUGCCUUCGGGAACUCUGAGACAGGUGCUGCAUGGCUGUCGUCAGCUCGUGUUGUGAAAUGUUGGGUUAAGUCCCGCAACGAGCGCAACCCUUAUCCUUGUUUGCCAGCGAGUAAUGUCGGGAACUCCAGGGAGACUGCCGGUGAUAAACCGGAGGAAGGUGGGGACGACGUCAAGUCAUCAUGGCCCUUACGAGUAGGGCUACACACGUGCUACAAUGGCGCAUACAGAGGGCGGCCAACUUGCGAAAGUGAGCGAAUCCCAAAAAGUGCGUCGUAGUCCGGAUUGGAGUCUGCAACUCGACUCCAUGAAGUCGGAAUCGCUAGUAAUCGUGGAUCAGAAUGCCACGGUGAAUACGUUCCCGGGCCUUGUACACACCGCCCGUCACACCAUGGGAGUGGGCUGCAAAAGAAGUAGGUAGUUUAACCUUCGGGGGGACGCUUACCACUUUGUGGUUCAUGACUGGGGUGAAGUCGUAACAAGGUAGCGCUAGGGGAACCUGGCGCUGGAUCACCUCCUUAAACGAUGAU
rnacentral:rRNA from 1 species